rnacentral:rRNA from 1 species
UACGUAGGGGGCUAGCGUUGUCCGGAAUCAUUGGGCGUAAAGCGCGUGUAGGCGGUCCGGUAAGUCCGCUGUGAAAGUCGGGGGCUCAACCCUCGGAUGCCGGUGGAUACUGUCGGGCUUGAGUACGGAAGAGGCGAGUGGAAUCCUGGUGUAGCGGUGAAAUGCGCAGAUAUCAGGAGGAACACCAAUUGCGAAGGCAGCUCGCUGGGACGUUACUGACGCUGAGACGCGAAAGCGUGGGGAGCGAACGGG